rnacentral:rRNA from 1 species
AACUGAAGAGUUUGAUCAUGGCUCAGAUUGAACGCUGGCGGCAGGCUUAACACAUGCAAGUCGAACGAAGUUAGGAAGCUUGC